rnacentral:lncRNA from 1 species
AGGAUGUGCCCAGGGUGAGCACAGAUUCCCACAUCAGGCACAGUGGAAGCAGCUGGAGAGGCCUGGCACAUUCUGGGGCUCUGACCCGGCAUCUGGACCCCAGCCUGAGGGCUGUAUUUUUCACGAGCAUCCCAGGGAACCGCUGAGGUGGAAUGGACUAGUGACACCAGAAGCACCCAGGCAGCUGCCGGGCCUGUGCUGUCCUCAGCACUGCACGCGGACGCUUCUGUUUAAUCUUUGCGGCAACCCCGGGAGGGCCAACCCAUCCUACUGAAGACACUG